rnacentral:rRNA from 1 species
AGAGUUUGAUCAUGGCUCAGAAUGAACGCUGGCGGCGUGCUUAACACAUGCAAGUCGUGCGCGAAGGUGGCUUCGGCCGCCGGAGAGCGGCGAACGGGUGAGUAACACGUGGGUGAUCUGCCUGGGAGCGGGGGAUAACCUGGGGAAACUCGGGCUAAUACCGCAUACGUUGCGUGGACUGCGGUCCGUGCAAGAAAACUGGCCUCUGCUUGCAAGCUAGUGUUCCCAGAGGAGCCCGCGGCUGAUUAGCUAGUUGGUGGGGUAAUGGCUCACCAAGGCGACGAUCAGUAGCCGGCCUGAGAGGGUGAUCGGCCACACUGGGACUGAGACACGGCCCAGACUCCUACGGGAGGCAGCAGUGGGGAAUAUUGGACAAUGGGCGCAAGCCUGAUCCAGCAACGCCGCGUGGAGGACGAAGGUCUUCGGAUCGUAAACUCCUGUCAGGCGGGACGAAGGUUCCGGGGUGAACAAUCCCGGUUCUUGACGGUACCGUCAGAGGAAGCCCCGGCUAACUCCGUGCCAGCAGCCGCGGUAAUACGGAGGGGGCGAGCGUUAUUCGGAAUUAUUGGGCGUAAAGGGCGCGUAGGCGGCUUGGCAAGUCAAAGGUGAAAUCCCUCGGCUCAACUGAGGAACUGCCUUUGAAACUGCCUGGCUUGAGUCCGGGAGGGGGUAGCGGAAUUCCCAGUGUAGCGGUGAAAUG